GACGAACGCUGGCGGCGUGCCUAACACAUGCAAGUCGAACGGAAACGCCUGCUUUCCUUGGUGUUUUGCGGGUACUCGAGCGGCCAACGGGUGAGUAACACGUGAGUGAUCUGCCCCCAACUUGUGUAUAAGCCUGGGAAACUGGGUCUAAUUAUCGAUCGGACUGCAGGGUGGAGGCUGUGGUCGAAAACGACGCUCUAGUGGUUGGGGAUGAGCUCGCAGCUUAUCAGCUUGUUGGUGGGGUAACGGCCUGCCAAGGCGUCGUCGGGUAGCCGGCAUGAUGGGGUGGACGGCCACAUUGGGACUGCGGUACAGCCCACGAUGCGACGGGGGACAGCAGUGGGGAGUAUUGCACAAUGGGGCGUAGCCCGAUGCAGCGACGCGGCGGGAGGGAUGACGGGCUUCGGGUUGUAAACUUCUUUCGACCGCGAGGAAGCCACCUGGUUGGAAGCGUGGUGGCGGUAGUGGUAGAAGAAGCACCGGCUAACUACGUG
rnacentral:rRNA from 1 species